AACGAACGCUGGCGGCGUGCCUAACACAUGCAAGUCGAACGAGAAAGGGGCUUCGGCUCCGAGUAAAGUGGCGCACGGGUGAGUAACACGUGGGUAACCUGCCUCUAAGAUUGGGAUAACUCGUCGAAAGAUGAGCUAAUACCGAAUAAGACCACAGUUCCCGCGGGAACAGGGGUCAAAGGUAGCCUCUGCUUGCAAGCUAUCACUUAGAGAUGGGCCUGCGCACCAUUAGCUAGUUGGUAGGGUAACGGCCUACCAAGGCAAAGAUGGUUAGCUGGUCUGAGAGGAUGAUCAGCCACACUGGAACUGAGACACGGUCCAGACUCCUACGGGAGGCAGCAGUGGGGAAUAUUGCGCAAUGGGCGAAAGCUUGACGCAGCAACGCCGCGUGAGUGAUGAAGGCCUUCGGGUCGUAAAGCUCUGUCGGGAGGAACGAAUGCUCCUGAGGUUAACAGCCUCGGGAGGUGACGGUACCUGCAAAGGAAGCACCGGCUAACUCUGUG
rnacentral:rRNA from 1 species